ACAUAUCUGGGGAGCACCCAUGGCCCUCAUCUGCUGCUGGGUAAUGUUGAGCAUGAGAAUGUGGACUGACACACCCUCAUUCCUUCUGUGUUCCUUAAGGUCCUGGUAUCCCCCUUUUCAUGCUUUCCCUUGCAGAUUUGCUUAUUUCUUAAUAGUGCAACAUAGUAUAUUGUGCAUUUGCUGGAAGCCUAAAAAAGCAUGACAGAUUUUAUCAUUUGGGCUGUAGAUAUUCAAUGCCCAUUAUGGGCUGACUAAAUUUAGUAGAGUGGCAAUUCACCAGACUACUAAAUUUAGUUAGGACAUCCGGUCAUAUCAUUUUACUUAGCUUAAUAUUGGAUAUCAUGAGAUAGGGCCUAUCUAACAGUAUGACUCCAGCUUCCCCAGCUGCAGAUUAUAUUAACACUAUAGCUUUUCAAAACAUUCAUGCUAACUUUUUUAAAGUCUUAACAUUUUUUAGUUUGUAUAUUUUGUUACAAGUUUAUAAAUAUGGUCAAAAUUAAUUUGGUUUUCACAGUCAAGAUCACUGUUAAAAAAAUGAUGCUUCUGUUUUCAUUUAAGCAAAACCUUUCUCUUUCCUUGUUUAACUUCAGUUAGAAUAGGAGGAAUUUUAUCAUCAUAACUAGUUGGACAAGGUGGAGUCCCAUUUGGAGAGAAAUUUUGCACAAUGAUUUUCAUUGCCUUCAUGCAUUUCUCAUUGCUAUCAAAUUUCUGUUUUGUUCCAGACAGGAAAGAAAAAAGCUUUAUGAGAAUCCAGACAACCUGGCCUGUGACAGCAAGGAGUACUCACUGCUGAAAAUUCAAACUUGUCUUGUGUAGAGUAAAUGGGAAAGAGAUCUUGGUAGAUUCCAUGCACAACAGCUGGAGUUAUGGCAAUAGGAUCAAAUAUGACUAACAGAAUGGCACUUACAAGCUCAUCAGCCCUGCUAUAAUUCUUAUGUGUUAUAUGGCAAGAAAAUUGCAGUAGCAAUAUUUUGGGAGUCUGUGCAUUUAAUAUAUGGAAAGAAAAUUGCAGUUGCAAUAUUCUGGGAGUCUGUGGACUUAAACUUUUGUGGGAGGCCUUGAAAGGGAGCCAGUGUCUCUCCAUCCCGAGUCAGUCAUUUCCUAUCCAAGUAAACUGGACUGAGAUCAUCUAGAUUCUAGUUUUUGCUUCUAAUGAGCUUUCACAGUAAAACAGGAAAUAAUAAUCUUGAAAGGGGAAAAAAUGGUCAAAAAUCACUCAGAGAACAUUUAAAGGUUUGUUCUGAACAAGCAGGGCUAAGAAAAAGGCCUGAGAAAAGUGUGUCCUGGGAUCACUCACAGUUAAAGCACUGAUUAAUUAAGCAGAGGGUCAUUCUUCAGAAAGACUCAAGGGCAGUUUUGGCCCCGCGGCUGUAAUUUGGACACUUCUGGAGUUCUAGAUACACUGAGCUAUUCUGUGCAGGGCCUGUGAAUAUGUGCAUUCUUCUGGCUGAACAAUGGCAUCUUUAUUCAAAUGGGAGCCACUAAGUAAGUGGCUGUCUCCUAAUAUGGGUGGUAUUUCUUCCUGCUCUGCCUCAAUCUCUGCUGCUUUCCCGUGGUCUUAUCAGUGCUUUGUAGCACAACUUACAAAAUGAAAUCUAUUCAUAAUGUUAAAACCCUCCCCCUUUUAUAGACACAGGAAAAAAAACCCCAAACGCUUACAUAUCCUCCAAUUCUAUGGCAGGGUGUUUACUUUUUUAAAUGCAAUUCUGCUUAUCUGACGCUGGUUUGGAAAUUAAUAAAAUAGUGCCUGGCUUUUAUUGUUUUGACUAUGGGAAGGAAAUUAAUCCACAACUAUUACAAGUGUUUGAUCCAAAUAAGCAGAGAUAAAACUACGGUUUCAAGAAAUGUCGUUCCCUGUUUGUCAGGUAUCCUAGUGCUCCUGACAUGUCUGAUUUAUUCCUGCCUUGUUUAGCAGCAGCACUGUCCAGGUAGCUGAUGCCCAUUCAUCUUGCUUUGUGUAGGUAUUUCUUCCGAAUGGCUUUUUUUAUUAUGCCUUAACUACUGUUCCUUCUUACUCACUAGGUUUGGCUCUGCCAGCGGUUAGAAAAGACAUUGUUUGUCUAAAGAGACAAGGGUGUGGUGAAAAUACUCUGUGCCAGCCAAGUGAACCAAAACACUCUCUGAAUUAGCACGCAGGCUGGAAAAUAAAAUUUAACUGACAGAAGACCUGGACCCCACCUGUGCUGAGAGACAGAGAGAAAAAAAUCACAGGAAUUGCCAUGUACAGUUGGAGCAUCUGCACUAUGAAAUUCACCCUGUAUGAAUGGACACUCAGAUGUCUUCACUUCAAGCAGAGAAGACACAACUCUCAGGCUGAAUUAGGCCAUUUGGAGAGGCUUACCAAAAUGUCCAUGGGUUACAGACACAAAACUUUUAUUUCACAAUGGUCUGGACUGAGCACUUGGCAGUAACAUGCGAACUCUGACCACAUCACCGGUGUGAAAUUGCUGAUUAACCUUUUGACUCUGACAAUUGGGACUUCUCUCAACACCAACUGGUAACGCAGAAGACCAUUAGUAGUUAAUAUUGGGACAUCCCGGCUCCAGAUGUCAAAAGUUGUAGAUGUUGAAACUCGAUUUAUCCAGAAGCUGGGGAGGCCCUGAACAGUGUCCACCCGUUCUGAAAGAGAGAAUUAGCAGCACAACAGCCCUCUAACAAAAAUGGUACAUUCAAGGGGAAGCUUCAGGAAUCAGCAUAGGCAGCGUUAGCCCCAGAGGCUGACAAGGCGGUCGAAUGUACGCAGACAAGCUGCUCUCCCCAAGCAGGCGGGCUCUGCCAGCAUCUGAGAAGUGAAAACCUGCCUGCGCCGCAGGUGAGAAAGCAAAUAACGCAGGGUGCCGCCGCGGGAGUACCGCCCGCCAGCGG